CUGGAAACAGGUGGCCAGGUGCAGCUCCAGCGUGACACACCUGGAGAAGCAGUGAGAACAUUAGAUGCUGGAAACAGGUGGCCAGGUGCAGCUCCAGCGUGACACACCUGGAGAAGCAGUGAGAACAUCAGACGCUGGAAACAGGUGGCCAGGUGCAGCUCCAGCGUGACACACCUGGAGAAGCAGUGAGAACAUUAGACGCUGGAAACAGGUGGCCAGGUGCAGCUCAGCGUGACACACCUGGAGAAGCAGUGAGAACAUCAGACGCUGGAGACAGUAGGUACACAUUUCUACAGUUUCAAAAAAACUAUUCUACCAACUUCAUGUUGCUGAACAUACUGGUCCUAUCCCAAAUGGCUGUACUUGGUUAGGUAGCUACAGUGCCUUCAGAAACUAUUCACACCCACUGGCCUUCACACAGUACCCCAUCAAGUGGAAUUAUUUCUACAAAUUAAUAAAAAUGAAAAUCUGAAAUGUCUUGAGUCAAUAAGUGUUCAACCCCUUUCUUAUGGAAAGCCUAAAUAAGUUCAGGAGUAAACAUUUGCUUUAGGGCUAGGUGUCCCGCUAGUGAGACAACUUCCAGUGAAACUGGAGGGCGCGCAAUUCGAAUAAAUACUCGUAGAAAGUAUGGAUAUUAAACAUUUAGGUACAUAUAAGUGUCUUAUAUCGUCUGAAAGCUUAAAUUCUUGUUAAUCUAACUGCACUGUCCGAUUUACAGUAGCUAUUACAGCGAAAACAUGCCAUGUGAUUGUUUGAAGACUGCGCCCCACAAAAUAUUUCUCCACCAGCACCGGUUUCAUAAAUUCACAAAUAGUGAUUAAAUAUUCACUUACUUUUUUUAAAAACUUCCUCUGAUUUGUCAUCCAAAGGGUCCCAGCUAUAACAUGUAGUGUUGUUUUGUUAGAUAAAAUCCUUCUUUAUAUCCCAGAAGGUCUGUUUAGUUGGCGCCAUCGAUUUGAUUCAACAUGCUGAGAAAGGAAUCCGAAAAUCUACCUCUAAACUUUAUUUCAACAAGUCAAAAUACAUUUCCAUUUACUCCUCAGAUACCCUAAAAUGUAAUCAAACUAUAAUAUUUCUUAUGGAAAGAAGUAUACUCAAUAGGAAACCGAUUUUAGCAGGUGCGUCCUGUCUUCAUCGCGCACGCUAACACGAAUUUCCAAGACUGAGUCCCUGUACUAAAACUGUUAUUUCUUAUUCAUUUUGGAAGUUACAAACCUGAAACCUUGAACAUAGACUGCUGACACCCUGUGGAAGCCAUAGGAAUUGCAUCCAGGGAGAUAAUGUUCAAUAUGACCUUAUACUUGCCAUUCUAAGAGGAUGGUCUCUAAAAGUGUUUGAGUGACUACCUCAUCUCUGUACCCCACACAUACAAAUUACCUGUAAGGUCCUUCAGUCGAGCAGUGAAUUUCAAACACAGAUUCAACCACAAAGACCAGGGAGGUUUUCCAAUGCCUCGCAAAGAAGGGCACCUAUUGGUAGAAAUUUGUAAAAAAGCAGACAUUGAAUAUCCUUUUGAGCAUGGUGAAGUUAUUAAUUACACUUUGGAUGGUGUAUCAAUACACCCAGUCACUACAAAGAUACAGGCAUCCUUCCUAACUCAGUUGUCGGAGAGGAAGGAAACCACUCAGGGAUUUCACCAUGAGGCCAAUGGGGACUUUAAAACAAUUACAGUAGAAAACUAAGGAUAGAUCAACAACAUUGUAGUUACUUCUCAAUACUAACCUAAAUGACAGAGUGAAAAGAAGGAAGCCUGUACAGAAUGCAAAUAUUCCAAAAACAUGCAUUGUGUUUGCAAUAAGGCACUAAGGUUAAAUAUUCAAUUGAAAUGUUGAACGCAUUCCGCAUUUAACCCCAACCCCUCUGAAUCAGAGAGGUGCAGGGGGCUUCCUUAAUCGACGUCCACAUCAUCCAGGGAACAGUUAUUGGGGGUUAACUGCCUUGCUCAAGGGCAGAAUGGUCCAUUUUUCCACCUUGUCGGCUUGGGGAUUCGAACCAGCGACCUUUCGUUUACUGGCCCAAUUUUCUUAACCACUGGGCUACCUGAUGGUGGCUGCAUCAUGUUAUGGGUAUGCUUGUCAUCGGCAAGGCCAAGGGAGGUUUUUCAGGAUAAACAUUUGCAUAAUAGAGCUAAGCACAGGCAACAUCUUAGAGGAAAACCUAGUUCAGUCAGAUUUCCACCAGACACUGAGAUUAAUUCACCUUUCAGCAGGACAAUAACCAAAAACACAAAGCCAAAUCUACACUGGAGUUUCUUACCAAGAAGACAGUGAAUGUUCCUGAGUAGCCGAGUUACAGUUUUGACUUAAAUAGACUUGAAAAUCUAUGGCAAGACCUGAAAAUGGCUGUCUAGCAAUGACCAACAAACCAACUUGGAAAAAAAUAAUAAACGUGCAUAUUUUGUACAAUCCAGGUGUGCAAAGUUCUCAUAGAUUUCCCCCAGAAAGACAAAAACACUCACAGCUGUAAUCACUGCCAAAGGUGAUUUUAACAUGUAUUGUGUGCAGGGUUAAAAAAAUAUAUAUACUUCAUCCAUUUUGAAUUCAG
rnacentral:lncRNA from 1 species